GACGAACGCUGGCGGCGUGCCUAAUACAUGCAAGUAGAACGCAGUUGCGAACGGGUGAGUAACGCGUAGGUAACUGCCUCAUAGCGGGGGAUAACUAUUGGAAACGAUAGCUAAUACCGCAUACUGUGAGAUGGACCUGCGUUGUAUUAGCUAGUUGGUGAGGUAAAGGCACACCAAGGGGACGAUACAUAGCCGACCUGAGAGGGUGGUCGGCAAGAAUGGGGCUUGGACACGGAACAGACUGCGAAGGAAGGGAGCAGUGGGGAAUCUGAGGCAAGUGACGGAAGUAUUAACGAGGGACGCCGCGGUAGUGAAGAAGGGUUUCGGAUCGUAAAGCUCUGUUGUUAGAGAAGCGUUAACUAACAAGGAAGAGACGUCUAACUACGUGCCAGCAGCCGCGGUAAUAC
rnacentral:rRNA from 1 species